AAUCAACGCUGGCGGCGUGCCUCAGACAUGCAAGUCGAACGAUUAAACUUCCCUUCGGGGAAGAUAUAAAGUGGCGCACGGGUGAGUAACACGUAGGUAAUGUACCUUUGGGUGGGGAAUAACUUAGGGAAACUUAAGCUAAUACCGCAUAAUGCAGCGGCUCCUUCGGGAGACAGUUGUUAAAGAUUUAUCGCCUAAAGAGCAGCCUGCGGCAGAUUAGCUAGUUGGUAAGGUAACGGUUUACCAAGGCUACGAUCUGUAUCCGACCUGAGAGGGUGGUCGGACACACUGACACUGAAUAACGGGUCAGACUCCUACGGGAGGCAGCAGUCGGGAAUUUUGGGCAAUGGGCGAAAGCCUGACCCAGCAACGCCGCGUGAAGGAUGAAGUCUUUCGGGAUGUAAACUUCGUAAGAAUAGGAAGAAUAAAUGACGGUACUAUUUGUAAGGUCCGGCUAACUACGUG
rnacentral:rRNA from 1 species